rnacentral:rRNA from 1 species
UACGGAGGGUGCGAGCGUUAAUCGGAAUUACUGGGCGUAAAGCGUGCGUAGGUGGUUGAUUAAGUUAUCUGUGAAAUCCCUGGGCUUAACCUGGGCAGGUCAGAUGAUACUGAUUAACUCGAGUAUGGGAGAGGGUAGUGGAAUUUCCGGUGUAGCGGUGAAAUGCGUAGAGAUCGGAAGGAACACCAGUGGCGAAGGCGGCUACCUGGCCUAAUACUGACACUGAGGCACGAAAGCGUGGGGAGCAAACAGG